CAGUAAGUAUGCAUUAAUUGUCGUGUUUCCUUACGAUAUACAUCGUUUUUACAAAUAUGUAUACUUCACAAAUUACAGGUCUUACAGAAUACAAUAGUUAUCACAUACUAGCAGACCUAUUGUUAAAUAUGGACAUAGUUGAAUAAAGUCUCGAUGUAGGACUUUAAAACCAUGAAAAUCUUCGUCUGGUGGAGGAACGACGUUUAAAUCAUCGACUAAAUACCUCCACGUUUCACAAGUGUCGUAUUGACUUUGUCAAGGACUUGCUUGGUUUUUCGAUUUCUAUGUUUAUAAUAAUUUUCUUUCGCCUAUGUCAUCAUUCGGACUUUAGAUAUUUCAGUGUAUCGCUUUUUAUGACUGGUUAUUUAUAAAUUGUAUUUUGUAUAACUCAAAAUAUUGCAUCUUAGUACUAACAGUUUUUAAAUUCAAAAUUACACAAGGUUAUAUUAUUCUUUCAACGGCUUGUUUUACUGAAUAAAACAAUGUAUCAUUAAUAUCA